UGACCCCAGGAGGCGGAAGUUGCAGUGAGC
rnacentral:piRNA from 1 species